GGCUGAGACCACAGGCCGUGAAACUCCUGACUACCUUGAUAGACAUCGACUCAGCUGGUUUUCAACAGCGGUGGUCUUGUUUUUCGUGUUUUUCUUUCGGAACUCUGUGCAUGUGGCUCCUCUCGUUCUACGGCUUGGCUCUCGAUUUGCACGGGACAUGGUCGAGCACGGGAUGAGCGUGGACUGACGAGGUAAGAGCCUUGCUUUUUCAAGCUCGUAUGUAAAUCCGUGUUGGGUGGUCAGAAAAUCUGACAUGGCUAUGGGAUUUACUUUGGGAUUUGAUCUGAAAUGAUUUUAGCUUUUAUUUAGCGUUACAUUCAUGGAGGCACCAAAGAUGGUGCAAACAGAAAAACAUACCUCAGAAGUAAAGGAUUCUGAAGUGGAAUGCUACUCCAGACCAUACUCUCACAAUCCACAAAAAACAGCUUAUACUUAUCCGGAAUCAUUAAGGUGCCUUCGUAAAAACAGAUUGGAAGAAGAGGAAUGUGGCCCUCGUUGUAAGGAAAGCUUGUCUCCUCAACAAAUCUCUUUGAUGCACAGUCCAACCUUAUCAGCAUCAUCUUCAGAACCCCAAAAUCGUUUACCAAAGCCACCUUGAAAAACUGUGUUGCUGGUGUUACCACCCAAUUGUACACAUUCCAGCAAGCUUCAACAGGGGAAUGGCCCAUGAAAGAUGACCACUCAACAGUCCAUCUCAUUUCUUCCAUGUUGAAGCUCAAAGCCCCCCACAUACGUUCACGUUCGCAUGGAAAAUAAGCGUUGCUGUUGGCCAUCCCAACUCCAUUUUCGAGACGAUUCCAGCCAGGAAGGUAAUCCACCUUGUCCCACACUCCUGAUCUCGAGCUAUAUACCAGCAAUUGCUUUUUUUUGU
rnacentral:lncRNA from 1 species